rnacentral:rRNA from 1 species
UGAGUUUGAUCCUGGCUCAGGACGAACGCUGGCGGCGUGCCUAACACAUGCAAGUCGAGCGAAUGAAAUUCCUGCGGGAACGGAUUUAGCGGCGGACGGGUGAGUAACACGUGGGCAACCUGCCUCAUAGAGGGGAAUAGCCUUCCGAAAGGGAGAUUAAUACCGCAUAAGAUUGUAGUACCGCAUGGUACAGCAAUUAAAGGAGCAAUCCGCUAUGAGAUGGGCCCGCGGCGCAUUAGCUAGUUGGUGAGGUAACGGCUCACCAAGGCGACGAUGCGUAGCCGACCUGAGAGGGUGAUCGGCCACAUUGGGACUGAGACACGGCCUAGACUCCUACGGGAGGCAGCAGUGGGGAAUAUUGCACAAUGGGGGAAACCCUGAUGCAGCAACGCCGCGUGAGUGAUGACGGCCUUCGGGUUGUAAAGCUCUGUCUUCAGGGACGAUAAUGACGGUACCUGAGGAGGAAGCCACGGCUAACUACGUGCCAGCAGCCGCGGUAAUACGUAGGUGGCGAGCGUUGUCCGGAUUUACUGGGUGUAAAGGG